CUAAUAUGACAAUCAUCUGCCCCUCUGCCCCCUCACUAUGACUUCCAUGAGAUGAUAUAGGGGCCUCUAAAGCAGGUGUCUUCCACUCCCUCAUGGAGAUCCCUGAUCCACCCAUCAGGAUGAGUUAUCACUUCUCUUAGAGUAAGGAGACUUUGAACUUGAAAGGGCUUCAGCUACCAGAGCAUACACUAAUCUAGAAUGUAGAAAACAUUUCCAAGUGCAAAAAUCUCCCUUGCUCAGGGUUUAGGCAAAGUGGUCCGUCCCUCUUUCUUCCUCCUCCCCUCCCCACUUCUCUUUCUUAUAUUUAUUUUUGUGCCUAAUUUGUCAUGGGAAAUGUUGUUUAGAACAAAGCUGUUAAAACUUUUCAACCAUGUUUUAGGCUGUAUAUUAAUAGAAUUGUGUAAUUUUUAGGUUGAUGCUUAAAAAUAACCCAGAUGAUUAGUGUUCAAGUCUUGGCUGCUAUAUGAUAAACCACAGUUUUACGUUUUACUCUGAGGGCACCGAGGCAUCGCUAAUGAAUUGAUUUUUUUCUGUCUGAUAUUAGAUUAACACCAUUUAUUGAUUAUUAUUAUUAUUAUUAUUAUUAUGUCUUUCCUUUUUGUCUAUUUCUUUUCUUUUUUGCUGUGUGGUUUCCUUUCCUAGCCUAGAGAGAGAGAGCACCAGAAAGUUAAUUGAAUCUUUCCUCGGAGUUUCAGUGUCUCACAGUGCUGUGGGGUCACGGUUCUGAGCAUGAAUUCUGAUUGUACAUUAUAGAACUGAGAAUGGAGCUGGCGUUGCAGACCGGCUGAGGUCUGUCCUGAUCCCACCUGGAAAUGGUUUCUUUUUUCUUUCUGUGAAAUCUUUAGCAGGACUAUUUGCUUCCUUGUUUUCUAUGUUGCAAGAAGCAAGUCAGAAAUUCAAUUAGUUGUUCUGGGUUACUGGAGGGUUUUACUUAAUAGGAAAUUGUCAACCAGAUUCUAAAAGCUUUCUUUUUGUUUAUCUAGUUUUUUUUUGUUGUUGUUGGUGGUGGUUUUUUGUUUUUUUUUGUUUUUUUGUUUUUUUGUUUUUUUUUUUUGCUUAUUUGAGACAGGGUCUCACUAUGUAGCAGAGGUCUCAGGGUGAUCCUCCUGUCUCAGCCCCAGGAGUGCUCAGAUUACCAUUGUCUGCUAGAUUCUUUUUAUUUCUUUCUCUAGAGUACUGGUUCUUAACUUCCUAAUGCUGUCACCCUUUAAUACAAUUCUUCAUGUUGUGGUGACCCUCAUUAUUUUCUUGCUACUUUAUAACUACAAUUUUACUACUGUUAUGAAUUGUAAUGCGAAUAUUUGAUAUGCCACCCCCAAAGGGGUCACAACCCACAGGUUGAAAACUGCUGCCCUACAGUUAUAGAAGAUGCUAAAUCCUCUUUAAGUAUUCAGGGAGGCAAUUCUGUUUACAAGUCCUAUAAUGUGGUUUCAUCUCCUCUAAUUCAGUGGAAACCAUCAUUAGCUUGACCAUUCCCUUGGGGAGGUUGGGAGCAUCUCUGUGGUAGGGAGCUUGCAUACCUAGAAGGUUAGGAAGCUUAAGGGUUCAGGCAUGUAGGAAAGAGUAUUUAGAGGCCUGCGGAGAAAGUCCUUUCCAAGCUAUGGCCUUUGAGAAGCAUUUCUGGACCACAGUGCUGGCUUUCUCAGCAUCAGCAUCAGCAUCAGCAUCAGCAUCAGCAUCAGCAUCAGCAUCAUCACAGAGUUGGCUCCCUCAGCAUCAACACCAUCACAGAACUGGCUUCCUUGGUAGCAUCACACGGUCACACUUGACUUAAUGUGAAUCAUUGAUUAGCUUCUGCUGCCUCUGACAUCACUGUGUUUGGAUUCUUGGUGUUAUGGUAGCCAAUUAUUAUUGUUGUUGUUAAUUUAUUGACUGUUUUUGCUAAAAGCAUCAAGAGGAUUUAAAAAAAACAUUAUAAGAGAGGAAGAGGUUAUAAUAAAAAUGAAGGUACCACAGUUCCCUGGAUUGGAAGACUGGCUUUCAGCCUCAGGUCUUCUAGGCGAUUGGGGAAAGGAAUUACAGGGAACAAUCCCCUGUUGAGGGACAAAUGAUUUUCCCCUCCAACAGAUUUUUAUGGCUUUCAUGACAUGACAUUAUUAGAAAUUGUGUCAUCAAGUUACACGAAACGGAACACUAAUGAUAACAUUGUAGUUUCCCAGUGAUGGGUUUAUCUACAAAACCUGGAUCCCAGUGGCUGGACUCAUGGAUGCUGACAGUCCAGGUUUCCCAUACCUGCAAAGGUGUAGGAGGACCUCGGGAUAUCUUAGGGUGAAUUUCUAUUCACUCUCCCCUGACUCUUUCACCAGAGGCUGGAGUGAGACAGAAGUGUUAUGGUUCAAACGCUACAUUACCUCUCAGGUAGAAAUAUCUUAGCUGUGUGAUUGGGUGUUGGCACUUGCAAUACAAAUUGUCUCAAACUGUUCUGAAGUAAGAAAGUUUCUACGUGCAGCCACCGGUCACAGUAGAUGAAGUCCACUGAGACACAAGGGAAGGGUACCACUUAGUGUAGAAUCCUCAAGCCGGCGAAAGAGGUAUGCACCGUUAAAAAUAUCUAGCUUACUUCGGGGGAGGACCGAAUACUGAUGGAGUUUAUGAAAUAUGAAUACAGUGAGUUGCUGUACGUAAGUGGUAGGCGUGUGUG
rnacentral:lncRNA from 1 species